rnacentral:rRNA from 1 species
CCUUCGGGAACUCUGACACAGGUGCUGCAUGGCUGUCGUCAGCUCGUGUCGUGAGAUCGUUGGGUUAAGUCCGUAACGAGCGCAACCCUUGUCCUUAGUUACCAGCACGUUAUGGUGGGCACUCUAAGGAGACGUGCCGGUGACAAACCGGAGGAAGGUGGGGAUGACGUCAAGUCAUCAUGGCCCUUACGGCCUGGGCUACACACGUGCUACAAUGGUCGGUACAAAGGGUUGCCAAGCCGCGAAGGUGGAGCUAAUCCCAUAAAACCGAUCGUAGUCCGGAUCGCAGUCUGCAACUCGACUGCGUGAAGUCGGAAUCGCUAGUAAUCGUGAAUCAGAAUGUCACGGUGAAUACGUUCCCGGGCCUU